rnacentral:sRNA from 2 species
AUUCUGCCCAAGCGGGGAAGGAUGAGAAGCUUCGACCAAGGUUCGACUUGAGCGCCAGCGAGAGAGCGUUGCCGCAGGCAACGACCCGAAAGGCGAAGCGCGCAGCGCUGAGUAAUCCUUCCCCCACCACCA